rnacentral:rRNA from 1 species
CAGGCCUAACACAUGCAAGUCGAGCGGACCAUUCCUUCGGGGAUGGUUAGCGGCGGACGGGUGAGUAACACGUAGGCAACCUACCUGUAAGAUCGGGAUAACUACCGGAAACGGUAGCUAAGACCGGAUAGCUGGUUUCUCCGCAUGGAGGGAUCAUGAAACAUGGGGCAACCUGUGGCUUACGGAUGGGCCUGCGGCGCAUUAGCUAGUUGGUGGGGUAAUGGCCCACCAAGGCGACGAUGCGUAGCCGACCUGAGAGGGUGAUCGGCCACACUGGGACUGAGACACGGCCCAGACUCCUACGGGAGGCAGCAGUAGGGAAUCUUCCGCAAUGGGCGCAAGCCUGACGGAGCAACGCCGCGUGAGUGAUGAAGGUUUUCGGAUCGUAAAGCUCUGUUGCCAAGGAAGAACGCCUCGAAGAGUAACUGCUCUGAGGGUGACGGUACUUGAGAAGAAAGCCCCGGCUAACUACGUGCCAGCAGCCGCGGUAAUACGUAGGGGGCAAGCGUUGUCCGGAAUUAUUGGGCGUAAAGCGCGCGCAGGCGGUCUUUUAAGUUUGGUGUUUAAGCCCGGGGCUCAACCCCGGUUCGCACUGAAAACUGGGAGACUUGAGUGCAGGAGAGGAAAGCGGAAUUCCACGUGUAGCGGUGAAAUGCGUAGAGAUGUGGAGGAACACCAGUGGCGAAGGCGGCUUUCUGGACUGUAACUGACGCUGAGGCGCGAAAGCGUGGGGAGCAAACAGGAUUAGAU